CUUAUCACUUGGAAUAAAAAUUGAAAAUUGAUAAAAGACCAGUUGCAUUACAAUUUUGCACCAGCUCUUCUGCGUCAGUGAUCACAGAGACUGAUCUGAACAACAAAUUUUUAUCUUAUCUAAUCCACAAAUACAUCAACUACCAAACAUAAAUAACUGAACAUAUUUGUCGCGUGUUGUAUCAUUAACGAUUAAAUGAAAAGUGAAUGUUUAUUAUACGCAUAAUAGUUGAUUUCCGAUAUGGAUCCUCGUGACGAUCCAACGGCGGGAGUUAUAUUAAUAGUGAUUUUUUCAAUAUUUUCACUUUUGGUUGUCAUCCAGAUCGUGAUUUUUGAAUACAGAAGGAGAAAAUUUCUUAGGCUUCUAAAUGAAGGAUAUUAUUUUGUGGAAGAUAAUCUAAGAUUUAGAAGAGCAAAUUUACGACCCAUCCAUCCCAAUAAUAUUGAUAUGAGAUAUGGAGUUCCCAAUAUCAUAAAUCCGGCAUUAGUAUUUGAUUGAGAAAAACAUGUCAAUUUGAAGUAAUAUAACAACAUAAAUAGUUCUAGUCCUAUUUUUAUUAUAUACCACUGAUAAAAAAAUAUAUCGAGUAAAAAAAGCUACGCUUAUUUUACUUUUUUCAGGCUAAAAAUUCUUGCCCAAUUAAAUAGACUGUGGAGUAAUAAUAUAUAUAAUACCCAUUCGAACCACAAUAAUUAUCAAUUCGAUCUUGAUAAAAUGAAACUUUAUCAAAACAAGCGGAUAAGCGCACAUUUUUUUUCGAACUGAUAAUAAAUUUAUUGGUCUCGCUAACAAUUAACAGUGUACCAUGGCUUUCGAUUCUUUUGGUCCUCUAAUGGUCUUCGGAUUUUUUUUAAUGGGAUUCUACAUGAUGGGACAAAUUGGCAUUGUCAUUUAUACUAAGUUUGCAUAUCAAAACUUAAGAAACAAAAUAUUACAAUCUGGGCGACUCAUUCAAGCGAUUCCAAUUAUUGGAGUUGCAACAAUUCCCACUGUGCAUCAACAAUAUCACGUCGAACAGCCCCAAAGCAGUCAAUUAGGAUAUAAUUCGGCUGGACAACAAAUAAGAAAAGAACAUCCACCGCCAUAUGCUCCAUAAGACAACAAUUGGCACUGAAAAUGUUACAUACUGAUUCAAGUUUAUCAAAUACAGUGUUCAUAUCAUGAUUUGCAGAAAAAAAAAUAAAUGAACAUUUCUAGA